rnacentral:lncRNA from 1 species
AGAUAAAGCACUAUGCAUGCUUCUCAUACAGGAAUUUGUACUUGUUCAGAUAAAUCUGUGUCAUGCUCCACACUCAGACAGAAGGAACCACAGAAAGAAGCAGCAGAAAAUGGUGAUCUUGUAUGGGAAGGCCCCUUCUGUGCCUUUUCCCUUUUACAUCCCUUGUACUGGAGCUUCCUGCAAAACAGACCUGUCCUGGAGUCUCUGCAUCAGCAUGGAUCCCUUGCUCCUGUGAAAUUGAAGAGUUCCCUUUACCUUGAGGGAUGGACUGGAGCUGGGUUGUGGGGCUGGCUGCCGUGUUCUCACCCACAUCUUCCCCUUCGCCCUGCUCUGCUCUCCUGACCCCCACUGACUCAUCUGUGCUUAACAGGAGGAUUGCCUUUGGACUGUGAGCCACCUGGACAAAGUGAUGCAGUUGUACCUAGAGGGUCAGGCCUGGAUGGCUGGGAUUUAAGGUAAACCUUUGCUGAAAAAUGCAUGCAGAUCUGAAACAAGAACAAUGGGCUGUUGUUUUUCUUCUUCUUUUUUUUUUUUUUUUUUUUUUUUUUUUUUUUUUUUUUUUUUUUUUUUUUUUUUUUUUUUUUUUUUUUUUUUUUUUUUCCCCCCCCCCCCCCCCCCCCCCCCCCCCCCCCCCCCCCCCCCCCCCCCCCCCCCCCCCCCCCCCCCCCCCCCCCCCCC